UACGUAGGGGCCAAGCGUUGUCCGGAUUUAUUGGGCGUAAAGAGCUCGUAGGCGGUUCGGCAAGUCAGCUGUGAAAUCUCCACGCUCAACGUGGAGGGGUCAGCUGAUACUGCUGUGACUUGAGUCCGGUAGGGGAGUGUGGAAUUCCCGGUGUAGCGGUGGAAUGCGCAGAUAUCAGGAGGAACACCGAUGGCGAAGGCAGGUCUCUGGGCCACUACUGACGCUGAGAAGCGAAAGCAUGGGGAGCGAACAGG
rnacentral:rRNA from 1 species